rnacentral:lncRNA from 1 species
UUUAAUUUACUCACAGCACUGUGUUUGGCUGCUGCAUUGUAACUGUAAAAAGCUAGUCAUUUAAAUGUAAGUCUUGUUGUCAUAAGCUUAUUACAGUGCCUUAGGCUGGAGUGUAAAUCUACAGUUGAACUGUGUUACAUUUUCUCAGUUUGCAGAUGCUCCCAUGGGAAAGAAUAUUCUCUUGCCUUGACCUUGGGCAAAAGAUGAGCAUUCACACUGAGUGAUAGUGCAGCGUAAAAUCAUUCUGGCAUGUACUUCUGAGAAACUACAUAAGUUUAAGUGUGUGAAACCCAUGUUGUGACAAAACUACUACCCAAAUUCUGUAGCCCGAACAAAGGCAUGCUGUUGUUUUCAGCACAUCAUCUGUUUUAUAAGAGGCGGAGUAAGGAAAUUUCAGGAAAAACUAUUUUUAUAGAAUGUGAAAAAUAUGUUAAGACUUUGAUAACAUUUAUCCAUUAAAGUCAGCAACUCUCUCUCUGCGGUAUUCACUCCUCUAUAUAACUGAUGAACCUUUCUUAUACAAGUUCUAAUCCUUAAUAAUAAUAAUAAUCAUCUAGACUCAAAGCUGAAACCUAAAUUUUAUUGGAAGGAUACCAUCAUUAUUUUCCUAACUGAGUAGCACGUACUGUGUCAGAGACACACAGUGGCCGGUGACUGUGGUGGGGCUCUGCCUGAGCAAUGUGGGCAGUGUGGGGAAGAAGGGGCCAGCAGACGUUUGCCCAAAGAGCUGCGUUGCUAUAGCACGUCAGGAGAAAGAGAUCUGAAGAGGUCUUUUAGUUAACAGGAAACCCAAGUGAACUGGUACUUCCAUCUCAGAUUGAAAUUAGCUGAAUAAAAGUUUUCUUUCCAAGAUUUCCUGGCAUGAUGGAAGAGAAAAAUCUUGCAAUCUCUGAAUCUUACGUAGUAAGUGAAUAAGGAAAUAGGAGUUUUGUCCAAAGGAUUGGAUAUUUCUGAAUGUAAGUCUUGUAUUUUUUUCUGAAUGGUAGAAGCACUUUCUAUGGCAAUUUCUGCACAGCACCACUGCAGUCUGAUUGUGUGGACAUACAGGUAGAUUUAAAGAAAACAAGCAGCUUUUUCAAAAUGUA